rnacentral:rRNA from 1 species
UUGCCAGCCCGCCUACAGAAACUCAAAGGAAUUGACGGGGGCCCGCACAAGCGGAGGAGCAUGUGGUUUAAUUCGAUGAUACGCGAGGAACCUUACCUGGGCUCGAACGUAAGAUGACUGUAGGUGAAAGCUUACAUCUCUUCGGAGCAUUUUACGAGGUGCUGCAUGGUUGUCGUCAGCUCGUGCCGUGAGGUGUCGGGUUAAGUCCCAUAACGAGCGCAACCCCUACCUUUAGUUGCCAUCAGGUUAAGCUGGGGACUCUAAAGGAACUGCCUACGCAAGUAGUGAGGAAGGCGGGGAUGACGUCAAAUCAGCACGGCCCUUACGUCCAGGGCUACACACGUGCUACAAUGGCCGAUACAGAGGGCAACUACCUGGUGACAGGAUGCAAAUCUCCAAAGUCGGUCUCAGUUCGGAUCGGAGUCUGCAACCCGACUCCGUGAAGUUGGAUUCGCUAGUAAUCGCGCAUCAGCCAUGGCGCGGUGAAUACGUUCCCGGGCCUU